rnacentral:rRNA from 1 species
CAGUCGCCGCGGUAAUACGAAGGGGGCUAGCGUUGCUCGGAAUGACUGGGCGUAAAGCGUGCGUAGGUGGUGGUUUAAGUCCGUUGUGAAAGCCCUGGGCUCAACCUGGGAAUUGCAGUGGAUACUGGGUCACUAGAGUGUGGUAGAGGAUAGUGGAAUUUCCGGUGUAGCAGUGAAAUGCGUAGAGAUCGGAAGGAACAUCUGUGGCGAAGGCGACUAUCUGGGCCAACACUGACACUGAGGCACGAAAGCGUGGGGAGCAAACAGGAUUAGAUACCCCAGUAGUCCCUGUCUCUUAUAC